CAAAUUUUUGAAAAAUAAUAUCCGUAUCCAUAUCCGCCGGAUAUUAUCCGGAUACGGAUAAUAUCUGGAUCCGUUUUUUCAAACACCAAAAAUAAAAUAUACAUCCUGACAUUGAUUAAAACGCAUGUUUUGAACCAUUUAAGCAAAUGUAUACGGGUUUCAAUCAUAAACUAGCUGUUAACAACUUAACAUUACAAAUUUAACACAAUCUGCAACAAAUUUAAAAAUAAAAAUCUUGAAGAUGAUAGUCCCAGUUUCUCCAAUAAUAGUCUUCUAUUUGUAGAACCUGAAAAAAUGCAAAACAAACAUUAGCUCCAAGUCCAAACAGAGAGUAGAAUUUUUUGGCUUUGAGCAGGGUAGAGAACGCAAACAGCAUGAGCCUGCUUCUCCGAUAAUC
rnacentral:lncRNA from 1 species